rnacentral:rRNA from 1 species
CCCGCACAAGCGGUGGAGCAUGUGGUUUAAUUCGAUGCAACGCGAAGAACCUUACCUACUCUUGACAUCCUCAGAAGCCAGCGGAGACGCAGGUGUGCCUUCGGGAACUGAGAGACGGGUGCUGCAUGGCUGUCGUCAGCUCGUGUUGUGAAAUGUUGGGUUAAGUCCCGCAACGAGCGCAACCCUUAUCCUUGAUUGCCAGCACUUCGGGUGGGAACUUCAGGGAGACUGCCGGUGAUAAACCGGAGGAAGGUGGGGACGACGUCAAGUCAUCAUGGCCCUUACGAGUAGGGCUACACACGUGCUACAAUGGCGUAUACAGAGGGCUGCUAGCUCGCGAGAGUAAGCGAAUCCCAAAAAGUGCGUCGUAGUCCGGAUUGGAGUCUGCAACUCGACUCCAUGAAGUCGGAAUCGCUAGUAAUCGUGGAUCAGAAUGCCACGGUGAAUACGUUCCCGGGCCUUGUACACACCGCCCGUCACACCAUGGGAGUGGGCUGCAAAAGAAGUAGGUAGUUUAACCUUCGGGGGGACGCUUACCACUUUGUGGUUCAUGACUGGGGUGAAGUCGUAACAAGGUAACCGUA